ensembl:lncRNA
AUGUCCUGCUGCUGCUGCCUCUUUCAUUUCAUCUUCAAACUGCACUGUCCAGUAGCACCCCAUCUCUCAAGAGAGCCCGUGCAGAAAACAGCUGGAUCUCACCAACAGCGGGUAACCGGGAGUUCCCCUUUUGAGAAGCACAGCCACAAAGGACACUUCUUAGAACUGAGUCAUCACCAGCAAGAUCUACAAUGAACUUUGAGCAAAAGCAAACUUAUGUCUUAAGCCACUGAGAUUUUGGGGUUUGUAUGUUACCACUACUUAGCCUGACUGCUACAAUCAAUUUUUCAUGCCUUAUGCACAAUCUAGAAAAUCCUUCAGAAUUCUGAGUAAAAAUGGUGACAGGGAGAAUUGGUUUUUAUCUUGUUCUUAACUUUAAAGGGACUGCUUCAACUGCUUUGGCGUUAAGAACCAUGUUUGCUGUUGGGUUUUGUUAGAUAGCCAUCAUUAGAUGAGGGACAUUUCCUUGUCCUCCUAGGUUUGCGUGAGCUUCUGUCAUGAAUGAGGGUUGAUUUUUUUUUUUUUUUUUUUUUUUUUUUUGGAGACAGGAUCUUAUUCUGUCACUCAGGCUGGAGUACAGUGGCUUCAUUAUGGUUCACUGCAGCCUUGACCUCCCAGGCUUAAGUGAGUCCCCAACCUUAGACUCCUGAAUAGCUGGAACCACAGGCGUGUGUUACCAUUCCUGGCUAAUGUUUUGUUUGUUUGUCUGUAGAGACAUGGUCUCCCUAUGUUAUUUAGGCUGGUCUUGAACUCCUGGGUUCAAGUGAUCCUCCUUCCUCAGCCUCCCAAAGUGUUGGGAUUACAAUCAUGAGCCACUGUGCCUGGCAAGUGUUGAAUUUUACCAAAUGUUUUUCCUGAAUCUAUCGAGGUGAUGAUUUUUCUUCUUCUUUUUUUUUUUUGAGAGGGAGUCUCGCUGUGUUGCCCAGGCUGGAGUGCAGUGGCGAGAUCUCGGCUCACUGCAAGCUCCACCUCCUGGGUUCACGCAGUUCUUCUGACUCAGCCUCCCAAGUACCUGGGACCACAGGCGCCCGCCACCACGCCUGGCUAAUAUUUUUGUAUUUUAGUACAGACGGAGUUUCACUGUGUUAGCCAGGAUGGUCUUGAUCUCCUGACCUCAUGAUCCGCCUGCUUUGGCCUCUGAAAGUGCUGGGAUUAUAGGCGUGAGCCACUGCACCCGGUCGAUUUUUCUUUUUUAAUCUGGUAUGUGGUCAGGAGUUUUUAAAUGUUAAACCAGUCUUGCAAUGAUUAGGUAGACUGUACUUCUUAGCAUUUCUUUUUUAUUUCCUGCUAAAUUCAGUAGACUAGUAUUUUAUUCAGGAUUUUGGAAUCUAAGUUCACAAGUGAGACUGGCCUGUAAUUUUCUUGUAUUGUCUUUGUCUGAUUUUUGUAUUGGGAUUAUAUUACCUUCAUAAAAUAUCAUGGUAAGUGAUUCUUCUUUUUCUUCCUUCUGUCAAAAUUGGUAUAAAGUUGGUCAAAGUUGGAAAAGCUGGUAUAAUUUUUGAAUAAUGUAUUUUUUUUAUUCAUUUGGUAAAAUUGCCCUACAAAUACAUCUGAAUCUGCUGGUAUUCAUUUUGUGUAUGGAUACUUAACUUGAUUCAGUUUCUUUCAUAGGUCUUGUAAGAUUUUCUCUUUCUUGUGGGGUCUGUUAUGGUAAUUAUCUAUUUUGCCUAAGUUUUCGAAUUGAGUUAUUCACAUUUUUUUCUUAGGAUUAAAAAAUUCCCAUUGUAUCUGUAGUUAUGACCCUUUUCAUGUGUUCCUAAUAUCAACAUUUAAAGCUAAUUUGUCCUUUUAAGUACCUACCUCAGCUUAUCCCAUAUAUUUUGAUAUAAAUGACAACAUUUUUAUUUUUCUGUCACUUCUAAGUAUUUCCAAAUUUACGCUGUUAUUUCUUCUUAAACCCAUGAUUUAGAAACAUUUUAACAUUUUCAGACAUGAGUUUUAAAAAUAAUUUUUUAACCUCAUUUUAAUUAAAUGAUGUUCAGGAAAUAUGGUCUACCAGAUAUCGAUUCUUUCUUGUGGCAUAAUCUAGGCUCACUGCAGCCAUGAUCUCUUGGGCUCAAUUCAUCCUCUCACCUCAGCCUCCUAAGUAGCUGAGACUACAGGCAUGCACCAUCAUGCCUGGCUAAUUUUUGAAUUUUUUGUAGAAAUGGGGUUUCGCCAUGUUGCCCAGGGUAAUUCUUUCUUAUUAGUUGAGAUUUACUUUGUCAUUUCAUGUGAAGUCAAAUUUUCUAAACAUUUCAUUUGUGCUUGAGUUUAAUUUAUUUUUCCUAAUUAGUGGAUUCAGGAUACUAUAUAGGCUCACAAGGUUUUCUAUAUCCUUUUAACACCUUUAUUGAAGUAUAAUUUAUAUAUUAUACAACUCAUCCAUUUUAAAUUGUACAAUUUAAGGUUUUUAGUAAAUUUACAAAGUUGUGCAAUCAUCACCACAGUACAGCUUUAGAAUAUUUUGCCUCAAAAAGGCAAGUACAAGAGGCAGGAAAAGUUAUGGGAGAAGGAAAGGAAACCUUUCUGUUUACAGUAAUCCUUGUUUCCAUCUUUUCAAUUGAUUUUUGUAUGCUUGACUCACCAGUUUCAGAGAGACAUAAUAUAAAUAUGUACCCACUAUGAUUGUGGUUUUGUUGAUUUCUCUUUGUAAUACUGUAUUUUUUUUUUUUGCUUUACAUAUUUUGUGGCUAUUUUAUGAAGUACAUACAAGCUUGAAAUUAUUAUAUUUUAGAGGCAAAUUGUUCAUUGCCUAAUUAAAUGAGAAGGCUAAAACUUAUUUUUCUCAAUAUGUGAUAUCUAUCUUUAUAUCUAAAAAUGCCUUUGGUCUUUAUUUCAUUUGGUAUUAAUUUCAUUAAUUACUUUAUUUCAUUUGGCAUUAAUCUAGUUACAGUAGCCUCCUUUAGGUUAAUAUUUGAUAUAUUUUUUCUAUCACAUUACUUUGAGUUUCCAUGUCUUUAAAUUGUAUGUAUUUCUGUUGAAAUCAGUGUAUAAUUGGAUUUAGUCUUUUGUUUAAUCUGAAAAUCUCUGUCUUUUAAUAGACGAAUUUAAUCUACUUAUAUUCAAUAUGAUUGUUCACAUAUUUGCCUUUAUUUCUACCUAUUAUUUGGUGUUAUUAAUUUACUAUACUCUUUUUUCUUUCUUUUCCUUUCUUUCUCCCAUCACGUUUCCUGCAUUUGUACUUGAUUGAAUUUCUCCCCCAAUUCUCCACCAAUUCUGGUUUGGAAAUAAUGCCUUCUGCCUUCUACAUUCACACACACACACACACACACACACACACACACACAUAUUACACUUACAUUAGCAUUUUAGUUCUGUAAGUUUUACUCUUAUACUGCCAAAUGUUUUUAAGAUUUACACACAUACUUAUCAUUUCUUGGCAUAAAAUUAUCUCUUGCAUCUUAUUUCUUCCUUCUGGGUUAAAUAUCUUCUUUCUGAAAUACAUAUUUUAGAAUUUUUCCAUUGAGAGUGUGUUAAUAUUAAGGCUCUGAUUUUCUGUGUGUCUGAAAAUGUCUUAUCUUUACUGUUGAAUAAAAAUGUAUUUGGGAAUAGAAUUCUGAGUUAUCUGGUAUUUUUCUGUCAGUGUAUUGAAAUUAUAUUAAAUUGUCAAGUCAUUUCAUCAAUAAGGCUGAGAUAAG